GGGUGCAAUCAUACUAGCACUAAUGCAUAAGAUCCCAUCAGAACUCUGCAAUUAAGCGUGCUUGGAUGAGAGUAGUACUAGGAUGGGUGAAUUCCUGGGAAAUCCUCGUGUUGCACCCC
rnacentral:rRNA from 1 species